rnacentral:lncRNA from 1 species
CACGCAUUCUAACCAACAGAGGAAAAUAAAGGGGAACAUAUUUUCAUUGCCAUCUUGCAACAACUUAGUGCAUUAUAGCGACUUGAACUCUCCAGUCCCUCAAUAGAAGCACAAACGAUGUAAAGUUCUGUAAACGUCACUAGCACAAAGUCCUUUUACGUCAACCUAACACAAAAUGACUAUCAGAAAGAAACUGCUAUAAUAAACAACAAAGUAGACACCUACAUUUCACAGGAAUAAAUCGAUCCACAACCUGAAAUUCAAGAACUGGAGUUUUCCAAAAAAGGUAACCAUGAAGCCAUCAGCUCAUGAACUAUAACUGUUCUCCGAGGCUGGAAGAGGUAGUAGGAUCAAGUUCUGGUGUAACCGAGACCAUUCUGCUGAAACUUACAAAUCAGCAAUUUUCUUGUUAGUAACUCAGAAAUUGUUUGCCUCUGCAAUACUUCUUACCUGAUGUAUUUAGUAAGCAACAUUUUACUCUUGCAGUAUAUUCCAUACGUAAGUCCUAUUUUUGUGCUAAUGCGCGAUACCUCGUUACCAUAACACGAUGAACCCUAUACCUCGUGAUUAUUUAAGCAGCAAAACUCACAUGCUAAUAAAAAAAACAUAACUUUCCUAAUGCAGUCAAUUCCAAAUGUAAGUCCUAUUUUUAUUGCGAACGCUUGAUCCUCGAUCUCAAUAACACGAUGAACCUUAUACCUGGUGAAUAUUUAAGCCGUAGAAGUCACCAGUUAUAGAAGCAAACAUAAUGGUAAAAAUUAUUGAACUCGGAGAGGAACAUAAAAAUUAUACAAGCAAAGUAACAACAAGCUCACUUAUCUUGAUUGCAAAAGCCACGACAUAGCGAAAGAGCUGAAGCCUGUAUUCCACUUCACGUCAAGGGACUCAAAUUGAAAACUGAUGAUAAUCCAACCAGUCUCUCUCUACUGAAUCCGAAUAUCAGUUAUUCAAAAUUUGUGAGGAUCUACAAAACCACAUGGUGGCAGGCAAGAUUCUGAAUGAAAUAUGGAAGGUAUGCUAUUCGAUUUCUCCUGAAUAUUGAAAUAUUGAACCAGAUAUAUAUUACAAAGAGCAUGCUAUUAUCUCCUUUCAGUUUAGAUAAAACUGAUUUUGCAUGUAAACCGUCUCAAUAGCAGAUGACUCAAGUUGUGUAAAGUAUAUAAAGAGAAGUCUCGUUACAUAGGAUUUGAUCAGACAAUUGAAAUCGUCAAGACAGAACUUACCUCCACCGUAGUCUUACACUUGAUGAUCAAACUCACAAGUGUACUCAGUGCUGCAGGCGAGACCUUCACGACAAAAUUCACAAUAUUUCAUGAAAAAUUGCUGCAUAUCUUUCAGAAUUCUUCGUUGUCAAACCAAAUUGCUGGAGUCUUAUGUCCAGCAAAGGCCGAGUCAUGUCACGGCAAAAGUUAUUUGAACAUCAACUAACAAUAGUGCAGGGCAAAGCACGUGCAAUAUAGCAAUAAUGGAAAAAUCCCAAAAAAAGUAGUUGAUCAAGGUGUCAAUGCCAGACAUGGAAACAAAAAUAGUUACACGAUGAAUCGCCAUGACGACAUCAAUACUUCGUUUGGUGAAUCUUCUAAUUUGUUUCCCGACAACGAUAAAACAAAAAUUGUGACCAAUUACGACAACUUGACUGCUCAAAUUUCCCACAGCAAAUAAAUUUCAUCUAUAUAAAAGACAAAACUAAAACAUAUUCAAGAAAUUAAGGCAUUCCAAAAUCAAAAAUUGGUUAUUUUUCUUAAUAUCUUUGCUCAUACUUUCGUGGGAAAUCUUCAAAUUUAUCGUAUUUCCUCAGCAAUUCACAGCAGGGAAAAAUAACUAGUUCAUGUUGUUUCUAAGCGAAACACUGCCAAUUGUCUCAAUCAGGAAGAAUGACUCGAAUUACUUAUGCAAUUUUUUUUUUCUCUAAUUGAGCAUCCACCAUAAAAUCACUCGUCAAAUAUCACCUGGUAAAUCAGAAAGACGGAUCAACACAAAGUUUAUGUGCAAAAUGGAGAUGCAUGUAUGAUCAACUGGAAGAGGAAAAAGAACCUACAAAAAAUUACUAUAAACUUACUUCCAUUCCAUCUAUAUAUAUUUCUUAUUCUUGAUCAAAACCAUGAAUUUCCAUGACAUUUAUUUUUCAAAAAGAUAAACAACACAAUGCCGAUUGGGGUCCUGAAGAAUUCUCGAGUUGUUAUUAGGAAGAGAAACCAAUAUGAUGCCUCCACAGAAUGCCCUCAUCAAUUGAGCCUUUGGUUUCCACUUCCCAUUCUGGAAAUUCACCAGUGCAAGAACCUUAACCCCAAGAGUGAAAGUUCCUUGAUCCAAAUCCUCUUUCAGGGCCUGCCCCACAUCCUUUCCAAGUUCCAGAUCAUGGAAACCGAGAUCAGUGUUUAUCACCGUCUCAUUUCUCGUGGGUUGAAUCAAGGGAGGCAAACAGUCUUUAGAAAGCUGAAAACGCUGGGAGGAUGUAUAGAGAAGAGUUAUUUCCAUUUGAUUAUAGAUGGCGGUCAAGUGGUGGUUGGGAUUGGUGAGAGUGAGGCUCAAUUUGCACGAAGCUGUAGCUUUGUUAUUGAAGAUUGAAACUUUGGAAAGCUCGCCGGAGGAGACUUCAAGUUGAGGAGUACUUGGGUGGACUACAAGCCAAAUAAAAAACCAGAAUAUACAAGUGAUAAGAGUUAAUAGUAGCGCCCAGGUUAGAGCACGGCAAAAGAUGGGCUUAUCAGGGCAUGGAAGCUGGUAGAGAUUAGCAUACCAUGCAUGCUCUGGUGUGGGUUGUGGCUGCGCAAAAGGGAGGGGCAAAUGGGGGCUGCCACCGGCGACAGGGACGUUCUCCUGCGACUGUAUCUCCAGCGGGUACCCAAUCACAACUUCUUUUUGUUCACCAGUAGUGGCAUUGAUGUCAGACGCAGAGGCAGAGGUGUGUGGGGUGGUGGAGGAAGAGGCGGAAGAUGAGGAGUAAGAGGAAGCCAUUGCCAAUAUGCUGUUAUACGAAAAUUGAAUUCAGAUUGUGAAAUUUGUAGAUUCAACCGAUGCUAUAUAAUGAAGCUUGCUGGCAGAGUUUAAGGGUUUGAUGAUAACACGUGGAAGAGAGGUGUCGCCACGAAGCUUCAUGGAGGAGAUAUCCAAAUCUAAUUUGUCGUUUUGAGCUUCUUUCCUGAGGAUUUUGUUGAUGACGCUCGGGGAUUUCAUUGAGGAAAUUUGUAACCGACGAUAAAGGUUCGUGCAUUUAUGACCUAAGAAAGUGCUUCUUCAAUUUGUUUGUUUCUGUAAAUGACCAGAUGCAUUCUGUAAAUGGCUAUGGCGUUUAGAGAUGAAAGGAGAGGAAAAAGUGGUCUGUAAGUCGGGGUGGGGAAGACGAAGUGGUAAAGUAGUGUUUGGCAAACCAAUGUGAAAUUAGGGUAAAUUGCACCAGAGGUCCCAAACCUUUCAAGAAUGUGUCUCCAAGUCCCAGCAAGAAUAUUGAGAUAGUUAGCCCUUUUUUGGUUUAGCUAACAAUUAUAUUUUUAUAAU